rnacentral:rRNA from 1 species
AGUGAACGCUAGCGGUGCGCCUAACACAUGCAAGUCGAGUGGGUUUAGACCCACGGCAAACGGCUGCGUAACACGUUGGAACCUGCCCCGGACUCAGGGAUAUCCCUCCGAAAGGAGGAGUAAUACCGGAUGGUCCCGCAAGGGUAAAGCUUUUGCGGUCCGGGAGGGGCCUGCGGCCUAUCAGAUAGUUGGUGGGGUAACGGCCUACCAAGUCGAUGACGGGUAGCUGGUCUGAGAGGAUGAUCAGCCACACUGGGACUGAGACACGGCCCAGACUCCUACGGGAGGCAGCAGUGGGGAAUAUUGGACAAUGGGCGCAAGCCUGAUCCAGCCAUGCCGCGUGAGUGAUGAAGGCCCUAGGGUUGUAAAGCUCUUUCACCGGUGAAGAUAAUGACGGUAACCGGAGAAGAAGCCCCGGCUAACUUCGUGCCAGCAGCCGCCGUAACAC